CUGUCAAUGUCCUAUACACUUUUAUGUGGACGACGGCGAACGAGGCGUACGCUGGGACAGGUGCCAAGGUAUACGUCACCACGUUCGGUACUUACGGUAGCAUCAAGACGUUCCUCCCUACCACCAAGGUCUACAACUUAGGAACAAGCGAUAGUUACGACACGACACAAGAAGAUGUCGGACCUCUUCAUAUGAUCCUUGUAGGACACGACAAUACCGGUUACAACCCUGGAUGGAAACUUGAAUCGCUAACAAUAACGAUGGAAGGAGUUGGAUCUUUCUACUUCGACGCCAAUGUGUGGAUAGAUGAUUCCCAUCAGGAAGUCGUUCUGUAUCCAUAACCACGUCUGCAGAAAUAGGGAAAUGUAUAAUGAGAGGUAUAGAUCUAUCGACAACCGGCGGAGUGGAAUAAUUGACACUGUCGUUAAGGAAAUAUGUGACUUUACAUAUAUAGGGAAUGAUGGCAAUCAUCAUUUUAAAGUUCGAUAUUUUAACGGUAUAUUGUUGAUACCACCUAACGUAGCUUCUUUGUGAGUGAGGUAUUUGUAGUUGUCAUGGAAACAAUAUGAAAGUAGAUGCGCUUCCAUAAUUCCGGUCUCAAAUUGAAUUGUUGUAAUAGAGAAACUUCCAUGGUUAGCGUUUAAAAUGUUUAGAAGUGAAACAUUAUUUUUAUGGAAUAAAACACAUUUUGUCGACAAGAAAUGACAUUGGCCCAUACUCAACAACACAAGGUUCAACUUUGUUUUAACACUCAAUCAUAAUUAUAAAUUUCUGAAAGGUCUGGAAUCAUGCUUUACAUCUAGUAGCUUGCUGGUGUUGUGUUCUAUUGCAAAAAUGACUUUCCAAUGUAUUCAAAGUUUUCAAAGUGUUCAACAUUUUAAUUGUAGAUUGUAAAGAAGGUUAGCAGUUCAUACUCUGAACAUUUCUGCGUUCGAAAGUAUCUGUCAGUUGUAGCGAAAUGUUAUAGUAUUGUCUGUAUGUACACUAACUUUUGAAGAUUGUUAAAAUAAUACUAGACCUUAAUUCAUUACAAGUAUUAGAUACCAGAUCAGGGAUUCAGGCCCAUUGAGCCUAUUGAAUAAUAAUUCUGCGUGUAUACAUUGUACUAUGUUGGCAUUGAUAUGAUUUGGAUUUGUUUUUAUCGUUACCAUAAUCAGCGAUAGCAAACAAAGAGUAGAUGGAUCAUAUUAAAGGGUAAAUGAUUAAAACAUCACCCGUCCCUCAGCUGCUUACAGUAUAAGAAUGGACAAAAAAUGUGCUUUGGAAAUGUCACAGCUGAUUUUCCGUUUUUGUCAUAUUGCCAAAUAAUAAACGGUCUUCAAGUCUCGCUCAUUUUCACUCUUACACUGACAAUCGUUUGCGUUAAAUCUAAACAUCUUUUCAAACUAUUGUAAGGAUACAGCUUAACUCUACCGUCUGUUGAAUCCAUCACUGUAAAAUUCCCUCGUACACUUGUUUGUCUUAGUGCACGAUUAUUUCGUAGUCUCAGCAUUUCAGACAACUUAUCAUUGCCAUAACACAUCAUUUAAUUCAUAAUUUAAUUCAUCAUUGUAUUGUAUGAUUUCGUGCGACCUUAUUUCGCUUCCUUUAUGAAUAAAAUGAUAAACAAAAAAUAAUGUAUGGAUCCUGAUUGUUUAUAAAAUAUUAAAUGUAUAUCAUCAGGCUCUUUAAGACUUGUCAAAAACCCAUAGUAUAAUUAACAGGUAAUUAGAUAUCUAAUCAUAGGUCGAUAUCGUACAAGUAUUUGUUUUCCAUUGCCGAUAUUUGAAGAAAGACUAUGAAUUAUCCUGACAAGUGACACACGAUCAAUUUUUUACCGUGUAAACAAGCAUCAUGCAUUCUUACUGCAAUUUUGUGUGUUUGUUUCUUAUGGUUCGAUGUUCGUAAUUGAUGAUUAUAUCUGUGUAAAUAUUGGACUUUCGUGGUCGUAUUUUAUCAUCAUUAAUUUUCUCACAGAUUAUCAAUUCAAAAGGUUUUCGGAAUGAUUGAUAUUUUGCAAAAUGUGUUCGUACAAUGUAGGUAAUUUGAAUCCACAUAUCACUACUGUCCUAAACAAUACCAAACGAUUAUGUGUAAACUGGCCUGUAAAGUUCUCCGCUACACUAGUUUGUCAUGGUGCCCAAUUUUGUCUUAAGAAAAUAUAACCUGCCGAAAUAUCCUUAAAUUUAUUUGUGAGUGGCAAUAUGAAAUACGUAGUCUAGAUAUCGAUGGAUAAACAUUCUCUAUUUACUACACAUGAGUUAAUACAAAGGCGAAUGAGUUGUGGCCCCUAUGCUUCUCGCGCCACAACAGCAUCAAGAAAGAUAUCAGAUUGUUUAUUCUACAACAAACAAUAUUCAUUUAAGGAGAUAUGCUGCUAGAUUUUGACAUUUCCUGAAGAUUUCUAUCCUUCACCAUUUAAACAAAAUAAUAUGUUUAUCAAUAUAUCUACUGUCGAUAUUUUUUAAGCUAAUUAAAACUAAUAUGUAAGGACGAUAAUUACUAAGAACAUGCGUCAGCUGUAUAUUAAAACACUUAUUGACUAUACAUAUUGCUAAACAUUUUCAAUGUUGACUUUUUUCAAAGCAUUAUAACUGUCAUUUAAAAAAAGAGGCAAUCAUAUAUCUUUAUUUCGAUCUUAUUUGAAGAAAUUAUAUUUCCUUGUACGAUAAGAGG